rnacentral:rRNA from 1 species
AGUCGACGAAACUUCUUUAUCACCGAGUGCUUGCACUCACCGAUAAACAGUUGAGUGGCGAACGGGUGAGUAACACGUGGGCAACCUGCCCAAAAGAGGGGGAUAACACUUGGAAACAGGUGCUAAUACCGCAUAACCAUAGUUACCGCAUGGUAACUAUGUAAAAGGUGGCUAUGCUACCGCUUUUGGAUGGGCCCGCGGCGCAUUAGCUAGUUGGUGGGGUAAAGGCUUACCAAGGCAAUGAUGCGUAGCCGAACUGAGAGGUUGAUCGGCCACAUUGGGACUGAGACACGGCCCAAACUCCUACGGGAGGCAGCAGUAGGGAAUCUUCCACAAUGGGCGAAAGCCUGAUGGAGCAACGCCGCGUGGGUGAAGAAGGUCUUCGGAUCGUAAAACCCUGUUGUUAGAGAAGAAAGUGCGUGAGAGUAACUGUUCACGUUUCGACGGUAUCUAACCAGAAAGCCACGGCUAACUACGUGCCAGCAGCCGCGGUAAUACGUAGGUGGCAAGCGUUAUCCGGAUUUAUUGGGCGUAAAGGGAACGCAGGCGGUCUUUUAAGUCUGAUGUGAAAGCCUUCGGCUUAACCGGAGUAGUGCAUUGGAAACUGGGAGACUUGAGUGCAGAAGAGGAGAGUGGAACUCCAUGUGUAGCGGUGAAAUGCGCAGAUAUAUGGAAGAACACCAGUGGCGAAAGCGGCUCUCUGGUCUGUAACUGACGCUGAGGUUCGAAAGCGUGGGUAGCAAACAGGAUUAGAUACCCUGGUAGUCCACGCCGUAAACGAUGAAUGCUAAGUGUU